GAUUAAGUUAUUAAGGGCGCACGGUGGAUGCCUUGGCACUAGAAGCCGAUGAAGGACGUUACUAACGACGAUAUGCUUUGGGGAGCUGUAAGUAAGCUUUGAUCCAGAGAUUUCCGAAUGGGGAAACCCAGCAUGAGUUAUGUCAUGUUAUCGAUAUGUGAAUACAUAGCAUAUCAGAAGGCACACCCGGAGAACUGAAACAUCUUAGUACCCGGAGGAAGAGAAAGAAAAUUCGAUUCCCUUAGUAGCGGCGAGCGAAACGGGAAGAGCCCAAACCAACAAGCUUGCUUGUUGGGGUUGUAGGACACUCUAUACGGAGUUACAAAGGACGACAUUAGACGAAUCAUCUGGAAAGAUGAAUCAAAGAAGGUAAUAAUCCUGUAGUCGAAAAUGUUGUCUCUCUUGAGUGGAUCCUGAGUAUGACGGAGCACGUGAAAUUCCGUCGGAAUCUGGGAGGACCAUCUCCUAAGGCUAAAUACUCUCUAGUGACCGAUAGUGAACCAGUACCGUGAGGGAAAGGUGAAAAGCACCCCGGAAGGGGAGUGAAAUAGAACCUGAAACCGUGUGCUUACAAGUAGUCAGAGCCCGUUAAUGGGUGAUGGCGUGCCUUUUGUAGAAUGAACCGGCGAGUUACGAUUUGAUGCAAGGUUAAGCAGUAAAUGUGGAGCCGUAGCGAAAGCGAGUCUGAAUAGGGCGUUUAGUAUUUGGUCGUAGACCCGAAACCAGGUGAUCUACCCUUGGUCAGGUUGAAGUUCAGGUAACACUGAAUGGAGGACCGAACCGACUUACGUUGAAAAGUGAGCGGAUGAACUGAGGGUAGCGGAGAAAUUCCAAUCGAACCUGGAGAUAGCUGGUUCUCUCCGAAAUAGCUUUAGGGCUAGCCUCAAGUGAUGAUUAUUGGAGGUAGAGCACUGUUUGGACGAGGGGCCCCUCUCGGGUUACCGAAUUCAGACAAACUCCGAAUGCCAAUUAAUUGAACUUGGGAGUCAGAACAUGGGUGAUAAGGUCCAUGUUCGAAAGGGAAACAGCCCAGACCACCAGCUAAGGUCCCAAAAUAUAUGUUAAGUGGAAAAGGAUGUGGCGUUGCCCAGACAACUAGGAUGUUGGCUUAGAAGCAGCCAUCAUUUAAAGAGUGCGUAAUAGCUCACUAGUCGAGUGACACUGCGCCGAAAAUGUACCGGGGCUAAACAUAUUACCGAAGCUGUGGAUUGUCCUUUGGACAAUGGUAGGAGAGCGUUCUAAGGGCGUUGAAGCAUGAUCGUAAGGACAUGUGGAGCGCUUAGAAGUGAGAAUGCCGGUGUGAGUAGCGAAAGACGGGUGAGAAUCCCGUCCACCGAUUGACUAAGGUUUCCAGAGGAAGGCUCGUCCGCUCUGGGUUAGUCGGGUCCUAAGCUGAGGCCGACAGGCGUAGGCGAUGGAUAACAGGUUGAUAUUCCUGUACCACCUAUAAUCGUUUUAAUCGAUGGGGGACGCAGUAGGAUAGGCGAAGCGUGCGAUUGGAUUGCACGUCUAAGCAGUAAGGCUGAGUAUUAGGCAAAUCCGGUACUCGUUAAGGCUGAGCUGUGAUGGGGAGAAGACAUUGUGUCUUCGAGUCGUUGAUUUCACACUGCCGAGAAAAGCCUCUAGAUAGAAAAUAGGUGCCCGUACCGCAAACCGACACAGGUAGUCAAGAUGAGAAUUCUAAGGUGAGCGAGCGAACUCUCGUUAAGGAACUCGGCAAAAUGACCCCGUAACUUCGGGAGAAGGGGUGCUCUUUAGGGUUAACGCCCAGAAGAGCCGCAGUGAAUAGGCCCAAGCGACUGUUUAUCAAAAACACAGGUCUCUGCUAAACCGUAAGGUGAUGUAUAGGGGCUGACGCCUGCCCGGUGCUGGAAGGUUAAGAGGAGUGGUUAGCUUCUGCGAAGCUACGAAUCGAAGCCCCAGUAAACGGCGGCCGUAACUAUAACGGUCCUAAGGUAGCGAAAUUCCUUGUCGGGUAAGUUCCGACCCGCACGAAAGGCGUAACGAUUUGGGCACUGUCUCAACGAGAGACUCGGUGAAAUCAUAGUACCUGUGAAGAUGCAGGUUACCCGCGACAGGACGGAAAGACCCCGUGGAGCUUUACUGUAGCCUGAUAUUGAAAUUCGGCACAGCUUGUACAGGAUAGGUAGGAGCCUUUGAAACGUGAGCGCUAGCUUACGUGGAGGCGCUGGUGGGAUACUACCCUAGCUGUGUUGGCUUUCUAACCCGCACCACUUAUCGUGGUGGGAGACAGUGUCAGGCGGGCAGUUUGACUGGGGCGGUCGCCUCCUAAAAGGUAACGGAGGCGCUCAAAGGUUCCCUCAGAAUGGUUGGAAAUCAUUCAUAGAGUGUAAAGGCAUAAGGGAGCUUGACUGCGAGACCUACAAGUCGAGCAGGGUCGAAAGACGGACUUAGUGAUCCGGUGGUUCCGCAUGGAAGGGCCAUCGCUCAACGGAUAAAAGCUACCCCGGGGAUAACAGGCUUAUCUCCCCAAGAGUUCACAUCGACGGGGAGGUUUGGCACCUCGAUGUCGGCUCAUCGCAUCCUGGGGCUGUAGUCGGUCCCAAGGGUUGGGCUGUUCGCCCAUUAAAGCGGUACGCGAGCUGGGUUCAGAACGUCGUGAGACAGUUCGGUCCCUAUCCGUCGUGGGCGUAGGAAAUUUGAGAGGAGCUGUCCUUAGUACGAGAGGACCGGGAUGGACAUACCUCUGGUGUACCAGUUGUCGUGCCAACGGCAUAGCUGGGUAGCUAUGUGUGGACGGGAUAAGUGCUGAAAGCAUCUAAGCAUGAAGCCCCCCUCAAGAUGAGAUUUCCCAACUUCGGUUAUAAGAUCCCUCAAAGAUGAUGAGGUUAAUAGGUUCGAGGUGGAAGCAUGGUGACAUGUGGAGCUGACGAAUACUAAUCGAUCGAAGACUUAAUCAA
rnacentral:rRNA from 1 species